CUGUUAUCCCCGCGGUAACUUGUUAUAGAUCCUUUUUAGGGUUUUUUGUGUUUAAGAAAGAAAAAGAUUUGGUUUUUGUGCCGCCCCAGCUAAAAGAUUAUUUGAAGUUCGACGGGGUCUUGUCGUCUUCUCUUAAAAUUUAAGCCUUUUUACUUAAAUGGAAAUUUAAAGUAAUCAUUAUAAUAAAGAAUUCAACUCGUUAAUCCCUUCAUUCUGGCCUUUAAUUAAAAGGCAAAUGAUUAUGCUACCUUAGCACAAUAUUUGCGGCUAUUUAAGGUUCAUUGAGCAGGAAAUACUAAUUA
rnacentral:rRNA from 1 species